rnacentral:lncRNA from 1 species
AUGACCCACAGCACUAGGGGGGGGGCACAGGAUGUCCCCCUCAUGCUCUUUUUUUCAAGGGAAAGAACCAUAAGCUCAGGGGAGACCACUCAUUGUGGUGCUAUACCAGCCUUGUUGGAGGUGCAAUGCAGUCAGUGUGUAGUGACUUCUCUUACUCUUCUAAUGCACACUAGCCUCACAACACUGAUCAGGUAUAAAUGUCACUGGAAAAGGUGAUUCAAGCUUCAGGUUAAUCAGCAUUGAAAGUGAAAAUGAGAACUACCCAAGUGACUUUAUCUUCAAGCAAUUUGGCAAGAGUGGUGGACUUGUGACAACCCUUGAAGCACUCUCCUGGGUUGACUUAGCACUGAAAACAAAAAGAAGUUCCCAUACUUCCAGGAAAUGGCUGACUGUUUUAGAGCCAUAGUAAAAAGUAGCCAUCAGAACCAGUUUCAACCUGAUUCAAUAAUAAAUGACAGCUCUCUACAGCCUUGGGAACA